UCCAUAUCAUGUUGAAACACCAGUUCUCAUACAAUCAUUGAAGUUAAGCAACGUUGAGCCUGAUCUGUAACUAGAUGACUGACCACUUGGGAAUACCAGGUGAUGCAAG